GAAUAUUGGUCAAUGGACGAAAGUCUGAACCAGCCAUGCCGCGUGAAGGAUGAAGGUCCUCUGGAUUGUAAACUUCUUUUAUCUGGGACGAAAAAAGGUUAUUCUUAACCACUUGACGGUACCAGAGGAAUAAGCACCGGCUAACUCCGUGCCAGCAGCCGCGGUAAUACGGAGGGUGCAAGCGUUAUCCGGAUUCACUGGGUUUAAAGGGUGCGUAGGUGGAUUAGUAAGUCUGUGGUGAAAUCUCCGAGCUUAACUCGGAAACUGCCGUGGAUACUAUUAGUCUUGAAUCUCCUGGAGGUAAGCGGAAUAUGUCAUGUAGCGGUGAAAUGCUUAGAUAUGACAUAGAACACCAAUUGCGAAGGCAGCUUACUACGGGAGUAUUGACACUGAGGCACGAAAGCGUGGGGAUCAAACAG
rnacentral:rRNA from 1 species